rnacentral:rRNA from 1 species
AAGGAGUGUAACACAUAUGCGAGUUUGCGGGUGCAAAAAACCCAUAAGCGCAAUGAAAGUGAGUAUAAGGUGUGAUACCUUCUAAAUUGGGGGUUGCAACAUCGACCGACCUUGAUCUUCUGUGAAGGGUUUUGAGUAAGAGCAUAUUUGUUACGACCCGAAAGAUGGUGAACUAUACUUGAGCAGCCUGAAGCCUGAGGAAACUCAGGUGGAAGGGCGCAGCGGUACUGACGUGCAAAUCGUUCGUCAGACUUGAGUAUAGGGGCGAAAGACUAAUCGAACCAUCUAGUAGCUGGUUCCCUCUGAAAUUUUCUCUCAGGAUAGCUGGAACAAUUUCAAGCAGUUUUAUCAGGUAAAGCGAAUGAUUAGAGGACUCGGAGCUACAAAGAGCUUUGACCUAUUCUCAAACUUU